UACGAAGGGGGCUAGCGUUGUUCGGAAUCACUGGGCGUAAAGCGCACGUAGGCGGAUCUUUAAGUCAGGGGUGAAAUCCCAAGGCUCAACCUUGGAACUGCCUUUGAUACUGGGGAUCUCGAGUCCGGAAGAGGUGAGUGGAACUGCGAGUGUAGAGGUGAAAUUCGUAGAUAUUCGCAAGAACACCAGUGGCGAAGGCGGCUCACUGGUCCGGUACUGACGCUGAGGUGCGAAAGCGUGGGGAGCAAACAGG
rnacentral:rRNA from 1 species